rnacentral:lncRNA from 1 species
UUUUAGAAAAAAACAUUCAUAAUAAGAAAUUCAGAUUAUAUUAGAAUUCAUUAUGUAAUCUUUUUAUAUGUUGUAAAUAGUUUGUAUAGGGUUAUGAAUUAAAAUUUAUCUAGGAUUUAUCUAGUUACAGGAAAGCGACCAACACCUUAUAAAUAAGUUCAUUAAAUAAAAACAAUAGUUGUUCAUUUGUAAAAAAAAAACACCUAGAGAAAAUGAGGUUAAAAUCUAUCACCAACUAAUAGUAGAAUCAACAUAGUCUUAGAAGAGCCUAAAUCAAUUAGAAAAGUUACAAAGUGAUCAACUAAAUGGUUAAAAAUCAUGAUUGAUUAGGAGAGAAUGAAAACAUGCAUGAUUGAUC